rnacentral:tRNA from 1 species
GUGGUGGCUCAGUGGUAGCGUGCUUGCCUAGCAUGUGUGAGGUACUGGGUUCGAUUCUCAGCACCACA